CUGUCUUCCUAUUGAUGUCUCCUGAGGAUAGGGAAGAAAUUUAUGACAGUCCUACUGAAAAGGCUAAUGGAAGUUAGAUGCAUUUUCCUGCCCUCUGGCACAUAUCUUGGAACCAAGAGCAAAAGUGGAAAGUGCAAUGUAUUGCAACUGUGGACAUUUAAAAAAAUGAAGAUAAUAGUAGGCUUUUGAUGUCACAAGAGCAUUGUGAAGGUAUGAAAAUAAGAUGACUGCUGACCUGUCUCUGGGCAGUGUGUGGAAGCUACUAAAAAACAUGAACUGCAUAAGUCUUUCACUUCAGAGG